CAUUACCAAGUUGUGCAGUUCAUUUAAAAAACGAGUCUUGGUUACCAUCAUUUAUCUUUAAGAAAAGAAAAAUAUCACAAAGCCACUUGCGGAGGAAAGUGGCAGAAAACUUGCAUGAAUAAACAAAAGAAAACUCUGUUUCAACCACAUAUUUGCUUUCCGUAGCUCCGGCGGCUCUCCGCCGUCGGAGAGCUUCUCUCUUCCUCUCUGUUUUCGACUUUGCUUCCCUGCCAGCUUUUCCCCCUCCCCCGAUAUGUCGGUGGCCCUGUAGCAGAGUAGAUUUGGACUCAAUCUCUUCGUAGACUGUUCGGAUCUCUCGGAGGUGCUAUGGAGUCAUGAUGAGGGGUGCUGAUGUGGUGGGAGUUGUGGGGAAGUCGGCGUUUUGGGUUCAGUCAAGGGUCGGAUUGAGUUUUUCCCCUUUCUCGAUCUGGUUCCUUUGCCGUCGGUGAGAGCGUGUGACCUGGAUUUUAGGACUCCUUCGUCCAGAUCUGGUGUUCUCGGUGUCCGGGUUUCAGAUCUGCGGUGGAGUGGGUCGGCUCGUGGCGGUUUCUAUCCCGCUCGGUGUCGAGUGGUGGGUUCCCCUCUCGUCUUCCGGUCAAGUUGGGCUUCGGGGCAGUAGGUCUCUGGAGGUGCGCACGUCGUGGUGAUCGCUACUGUGUGGUCGCGGUAGCUAUGGAGUUUGUUUCGUGCGGCUGCUCGUGUUCUGUCUCUCUGGCUGGCCGUCUAUGACCAACAAAGGGCUUUUCCGGCGGUCGCUCCAGCCUUGUCCUCUCGGGUUUGCCGCUUUUGAUGCUGAUGUGCUCGUCUUCGUAUGGGUGCUCUCUGCUCCUCUACGUCUCUUCAGUUAUCUCGACGGUUCUCCUCCGUUGCUGUUUCGCUGACGAGGCAAUAUGGAGCUAUCAUCGGUUCUCGAUGCUAGCGCGAGACGGGGUUCUUGGAUCUUCGGAUUCCAGUUUCCUCGUAGGAGCCUCGUGUUUCGAUUGGUCAUCCCAGCCACAUUGUCGGACCAUUUGGUAAGUAGUGGGGGGUCAAUCGUUGGUUCAUUUUGUAGGUUUGGUUGGACAGCACUGAGAUGUGGCUCUCACCGGACCCGUCUUUUGCUAUGGUUCGCGUUUAUUUCUGAAGUCAAACCAAAUAAGUGUGGUUCUCUCUGCUCAUCGGACUAAGCCAGAUGGUGCUCCUAGGGCUCUCUGGAGUGUGUAGUUGCUGGAAGCUCAUGGUGUUUGGGUUCUCUAGCUGCCGGUGGUGGUUCGCGAUACUCGAGCUUCGUUGACUAAGCUCGACAAAGCUGCGCGGAACGAUACCAAUCAGUUGGAGUAGCGCUGCGGGCAAGCCAAUAUCUACCAAGGCGUGGUCUUAUGGUAUAUCAAAGGUAUUCUUCCCAUGCAGCAAUGUCAACUCUCGGUCAAGCUUCUUCUCUAUUACCUUUAGUUAGCUCGGUUUUAAUUUGGUGGAAAAGAAUAAUCACGAAACGGCGGAGGAAGAGGGAAAUACGGCGGACGAGGAGAAGGGUCAUGCGCCGGAGGAGUUUUUGGGAGAGAAAUCUGAGGAUGCUGGACUCUAGCAAACUGGAGGGUGAAGACGAUCAAAAUUCGGUGAAGAGAGAAUUCUGAGAUUGGAGUGUGAAGAAAAUUAAAAAAUUGAUGAAAAGAAAGGUCCAAGGAAGAAAGAGGAUUUGGGUUUCGAAAAUCUAUUCCCUAGAAAAUGAGCGGUAUAGUAAAAACAUUUGGACAAUUUUCAGUGGAAAAACCUUGGAGCCAAAUUAUGCGGCCAAAGUGUAACUAUCCGAAGACAAAUAGUUGCAAAAAUAGUGGCAUGUUGUUAAGGAAAAAUAAAAUAAAAUUUACCACUUAUAUGUAA